rnacentral:rRNA from 1 species
CGUGUAGGCGGAUAUUUUAGUCGGUUGUGAAAUCCCCGGGCUUAACCUGGGAAUUGCAGUCGAUACUGAAUAUCUAGAGUAUGGUAGAGGAAAGUGGAAUUCUCGGUGUAGUGGUUAAAUACGUAGAUAUCGAGAGGAACACCAGUGGCGAAGGCGGCUUUCUGGCCCAAUACUGACGCUGAGGCGCGAAAGCGUGGGGAGCAAACA